GGCUCCCCAAAGCAGGAGUGAGGCAGGUGAAAAAUAUACUUGAUCCCAACUAGUCUCCAUGGCAGCAGGGCUGCUUGUCUGGCCGGAUAACAACAUCCCUCAUCAGGAAGAGUCUUAUCCUGUGACCUAAGAUAAGAGAUGGAGAAGAAAGAGAGAAAGUGAAAGAGAACAGAACAUUGAAGCCUCCUUCAGAAUAGUAGAGGCCAGGCUCAAACCUGGGUAUGCACAUGGCUCACUACUCAGUCACCAAGUUGCAGAUGUUACCAUGACACCAACCUGACUUCCCUGGGCAAAUGACCUCACCAAUAUGUCCUGGAACCUCACCUCCUGAGAAACUUACCCUACUAGGGAAAGGUAGAGACAGGCUGAGGAUAUCAAUCAAUCUUUCAACACCUAUGUCCAGCAGAGAAACAAUUACAAAAGCCAGACUUUCUAUAUUCUACACCCCAUAAAAAUCUUUGGUCCCUACUUCCAAAGGGAUAAGAAAAA